rnacentral:misc_RNA from 1 species
GAUGAAGAACGUAGCGAAAUGCGAUACUUGGUGUGAAUUGCAGAAUCCCGUGAACCAUCGAGUCUUUGAACGCAAGUUGCGCCCGAAGCCAUCAGGUUGAGGGCACGUCUGCCUGGGCGUCACAUAUCGUUGCCCAAUGCCUAUUGCAGUGCAAUAGGAAUUUCUAGGGCGAAUGAUGGCUUCCCGUGAGCGUUGUUGCCUCGCGGUUGGUUGAAAAUCGAGUCCUUGGUAGGGUGUGCCAUGGUAGAUGGUGGUCGAGUUAGAACGAUACCGAUCAUGUGCAUGCUCCCCAAUAUAUGGCCUCUCUGACCCACACGCGUCUUUUGACGCUCAUGACGAGACCUCAGGUCAGGCGGGGCUACCCGCUGAAUUUAAGCAUAUCAAUAAGCGGAGGA